UUCUGGAGCCAUCCGCAGACGAGUUUGCUUUAGCUCCGGAAGUCUAGGCUACCUGGCAGUGCUUCCAGUGAGCUUGCUUCCCAGAGCCCUGCCUUGUCUCAAAGAGAAGAGAACGAUGACCAAGUUACAGGAGGCAGUGACGUUCAGGGACGUGGCUGUGGUCUUCAGUAAGGAGGAGAUGGGGCUGCUGGACGCUGCCCAGAGGAAGCUGUACCACGAUGUGAUGCUGGAGAACCUCAGGAACCUCCUGGCAGUGGGAGGCCAGAGUCCAAGCAAGAUAGAGACACUUCACAAAACAGGAGUAAGGUGCCUUUCACUGGGGAAGCUUUCAUGCUGGCAAAUCACAGGCCAUGAUGCCAACAAACUGGCCAGAGCUCCAGAAGACGUAAUAAACACUCAAGAACAGGGUUCUCACUUCCUGGAGCGAUGCCACAGGGGCGCAGAAGAGCCUUCUCAGGUCUCUGCGGAUGAUGACUCUGCUGAGAGUCUCACAAGCAACCAUUCCAGCAUUAGUGAAAAUCAGGAAUUUCUGUCUGGGAGAGCUCAGAGUUCUUUGAGUGAAACACAUCUCAGUGAGAGACGUGACAGUGGGAAACACUGUCCUCAGACUCCGGUGAAAACCAAGCCACAGCCGUUGGCUCUGGGUGUUGACAUUCUGAGUUUCAUUUCCCAUCAAGAUAACGAUAUACUGCAUGAAAGAGACAAAGUCCACAGCAGCGGUGACUGUGACGAAGUCAUCUGUCCCCUGUCACAACUCACCCAGGAUUGCGAUUACACAGAACGGAAGGCCUACCAGUGCAGCCAGGGCCAGAACGCCUUCAUUGACAGCUCGUUUCUGGAACUCCAUCAGCAGGUCCUCUUAGAAAUGAAGUCCUCUGGACAUACUGCACACGAGGACACCAGGCGUAGCUCCAGUGUCCCCAUUCAACAAAGCAUUCAUCCAGGGGAAAAACGCUACUGGUGUCAAGAGUGUGGCAAAGGUUUCAGUCAGAGCUCAGCUCUCCAGACUCACCGGAGAGUGCACACGGGGGAGAAGCCCUAUCAGUGCGACAGCUGUGGGAGGGGCUUCAGCCGCAACUCAGACCUCAACAUCCACCGCCGCGUGCACACCGGGGAGAACCUUCACAAGUGUGAGGUGUGUGGGAAGGGCUUCACAAAGUGGGACCACCUCCAGAUACACCAGAGAAUUCACACGGGAGAGAAGCCGUAUAAGUGUGGAGACUGUGGCAAACGCUUCAGCUGUAGCUGGAACCUUCACACCCACCAGAGGGUCCACACGGAGGAGAAACCGUACAAGUGUGACGAGUGUGGGAAGCGCUUCAGCUUGAGCUUCAACCUCCACAGCCAUCAGCGGAUCCACACGGGAGAGAAGCCGUAUAAAUGUGAAGAGUGCGGGAAGGGUUUCAGUUCAGCCUCAAGCUUCCAAAGACACCAGAGGGUCCAUACAGGAGAGAAGCCGUUUGUCUGUAAUGUGUGUGGAAAGAGCUUCAGUCAGAGUUCGAAUUUUCAAGCCCACCAGAGAGUUCACACCAGGGAGAAACCGUACAGGUGUGAUGUGUGUGGGAAGCAUUCCACCUGGAGCCUUCACAGUCACCAGAGAGUCCACACGGGAGAGAAACCGUAUAAAUGUGAGGAGUGCGGCAAAGGCUUCAGUCAUGCCUGGAGUCUGCAGGUUCAUCAGAGUCUCCACACCGGCGAGAAACCGUUCAAAUGCAAUGUGUGCCAGAAGAGGUUCAAUCAGGCCUCAAUCCUCCAGGACCACGAGAGGGUGCACACGGGGGAGAAGCCCUACAAAUGCGACACGUGUGGGAAGGCCUUCAGCCAGAGAUCCGGUCUCCAAGUCCAUCGGAGAAUUCACACUGGGGAGAUGCCGUAUAAGUGUGCGGAGUGUGGGAAAGAAUUCAGGUGGAGCUCAGGGCUUCGCUCUCACCUGAGGGUCCACACAGGAGAGGAACCCUACCCGGUCAGCAGUGUGGGAAGCGGGAGGACUUCAGUCAGGCCUCACACUUCCACACACAGAUGAGAAUCCACAUCAGAGAUCACAUCUAAUAGAGGGUCCACAAUGCAAGGAACCCCUAGUUUGUUCUGCACUCAGGUGGGCUCCAUGCUGCUGGUUGUUAAAAAGUGCCACCAAACCCAGAGGCUUCAGGAGAGGCAUUAUCUUGGUAUUUUGCCCUCAACUCAUUCUUUUACCAAGCUCACUAUGAAAAAGGAAAUAGUAUUUUAGAGUGGACCUUCUUGGGUCACAGACAAGACUAGAGACUUAUAUAGAAAAGGGUUCUGACUUAAUUAUAAGAGGAAGAAUUGUCAAUUGUCAGGAAUAAAACCAACAGAAAGCCAUCGUGACUCACACUAACGCUGAGAUUGUUCAAUUAUGGGUAACCCAUUGGCAAAGAGCUUGUAGCAACUGUAUGGGAGAAAUUAUCAAUAAACAUUCUAAGAGCAAGUGA